rnacentral:lncRNA from 1 species
GAGAGAAUUUCUUCAGUUUAUUUGAAACCAUUGGUAAAGAAAUACGUUGGUUAUUUGCCAUACCUUUAACACGUCUGAAUUGUAGAAGAUAGAAAAAUCCAAGCACUGAGGAAAAAAAUUGUCACAGCGGACUUGUUGGGAUCUACUUGGAACUUGCAGUAAAAUUACAUGCAACAUGGUGUGUUUUUGAACACAUGUAGAUUCAGCUGAUGUCUUUUUACUGGAUUGAGUCAUGCUUGUAGUACGCUGUCUCCGAGAUCUAGGUGACUUCUGAGAACCUGAGGAACC